UUCGUGUAAUCUUCCUCCGAACGGAUUAGAAGGAAGGGACUCACCCCUCUUCGUCGGACUUAUCUACGCCAGUGUUGAACUAACCGAAGGUGCUCCAUACUUUUCUGUCGCAGAUGACCAACGCUACGCGGGACACGGAAGACUAAACACGAGAAAUUCCCAUCGACAACUAUUUUGGGCCUUCUGGAUGGACCAUUGAACGGACCGAUCAUCGACGAGAUGGGGACCCAGCGAUCCAGCGAAACUCUCAGGACGACUACGAAAAGUACGACUGCCAUUGCCACCCCUGUUCAGGCCAUGCCGCUCGCUCCGCAGGGAUGAAAGGACGAGCCAGAAGAAUGAAGAAUACCCUCGAGUGCAGAUGUCUCGAAGGAGAAUAAUAACUACGACGAAAAAUCUCUUGAGAACCCUCCAAAUUCACAAUCAUCAGAGCCGCCGGGAACAAAAACGUUUUUUACACUUCUGGCUGUGAGAAAAUCAGCUGAGAAAGCGAAACAAUUCCGUUCGAAUGACAAAUGAGAAUCUCCGCCAUUGGACGCUCAAAAACAAGUUUUUUAAUGAACCGUCAUCCAAGACUUUCACUGUCUACAAACGAAAACGGACUUUCUUCGUCCAUCGAGUAACAGCAGUUAAUUCAGGUGUCAAAAUAUGAGUCGAUAGAAAAUUACAGCUGGAAAUAUGACCGGGUGAAAACGACUGCAAAAAAGCAUCGAUGAAAUAUCCAAACAAUUAUCGCGUUUACAAUUUCGACGAUAAAAUUGUACUCUCGAUCAACCACUUCGAAAUUCGCGACUCGACCGAAUCCGAGAUUCACUGUCCGAGUCGACGAUAUUAUUAGCUGCACUAAACCUAUCAACGGGCAUUAUAAAAUAUAACAUUCGUCGACAAAGAGACCGAAAUUGUUCUCAACACCAAUCAGGUUCGACGAGGAAGACAAAGAAAUUUUGCACAAAUCCAGCUCACUCAGCCAGUACGAGCAAGCUAUGAAAAAAAAAAAAAAAAAAAAAAAAAAACAGUUUUACAAUCAC